rnacentral:rRNA from 1 species
CCUACGGGAGGCAGCAGUGAGGAAUAUUGGUCAAUGGACGCAAGUCUGAACCAGCCAUGCCGCGUGCAGGAUGACGGUCCUAUGGAUUGUAAACUGCUUUUGUACAGGAAGAAACACUCCCUCGUGAGGGAGCUUGACGGUACUGUAAGAAUAAGGAUCGGCUAACUCCGUGCCAGCAGCCGCGGUAAUACGGAGGAUCCAAGCGUUAUCCGGAAUCAUUGGGUUUAAAGGGUCCGUAGGCGGUUUAGUAAGUCAGUGGUGAAAGCCCAUCGCUCAACGGUGGAACGGCCAUUGAUACUGCUAGACUUGAAUUAUUAGGAAGUAACUAGAAUAUGUAGUGUAGCGGUGAAAUGCUUAGAGAUUACAUGGAAUACCAAUUGCGAAGGCAGGUUACUACUAAUAUAUUGACGCUGAUGGACGAAAGCGUGGGUAGCGAACAGGAUUAGAUACCCGAGUAGUC